CCUACGGGGCGCUGCAGUGGGGAAUAUUGGGCAAUGGGCGCAAGCCUGACCCAGCAACGCCGCGUGCAGGAAGAAGGCUUUCGGGUUGUAAACUUCUUUUCUCAGGGACGAAGCAAGUGACGGUACCUGAGGAAUAAGCCACGGCUAACUACGUGCCAGCAGCCGCGGUACUACGUAGGUGGCGAGCGUUAUCCGGAUUUACUGGGUGUAAAGGGCGUGUAGGCGGGAAAGCAAGUCAGAUGUGAAAACCAUGGGCUCAACCUGUGGCCUGCAUUUGAAACUGUUGUUCUUGAGUACUGGAGAGGCAGACGGAAUUCCUAGUGUAGCGGUGAAAUGCGUAGAUAUUAGGAGGAACACCAGUGGCGAAGGCAGUCUGCUGGACAGCAACUGACGCUGAGGCGCGAAAGCGUGGGUAGCAAACAGGAUUAGAUACCCCGGUAGUC
rnacentral:rRNA from 1 species